GGGGGGGGGGGGGGGGGGGGGGGGGGGGGGGGGGGCGGGGGGGCGGGGGGGGGGGUUGGUUCUGUGGUGUUCGCGGCGGACGGGUGGGUAGCACGUGGCUGGCCUCCCUAUGAGACUGGGGUAACUUAGGGAAGCCUGACCUAGUACCUGCUUCUCUUUUUACCCGCCUGAGUCCAACGUGGCAUCACGUCUUGCUGUCCCUUCUAGCUGUCUCCGCGCUGCAGUAGCUAGUUGGUCAGGUAACGGCUUACCCACUCCACGAUGCAUAGCCGACCUGAUCGGGGGAUAGGCCACACUGGAACUGAGACACGGUCCCGACGCCUACGGGAGGCAGCAGUAGGGAAUCUUCCGCAAUGGGCGAAAGCCUGACGGAGCAACGUCGCGUGAGUGAUGAAGGUCUUCGGAUCGUAAAACUCUGUGAUUAGGGAAGAACAUAUGGGUAAGUAACUGUGCACAUCUUGACGGUACCUAAUCAGAAAGCCACGGCUAACUACGUG
rnacentral:rRNA from 1 species